CUGCCAACACCAUCUCCAAUGUCCACUUCAGUAAUUUUUUUAUCUUUUGGAAUCUUCUAAUGUCAUUACUCUCUUUUCUUAUGACAACCUGUCUUCUUCUGCUUUCUUUUCCUCAGCUUUUCUCCUGCAUAAUGUUCAAUCUAUUUUUCAAAUUAAUCAUAAUGUAACCUUUAUCUCUCUCCCUUCUGUACCUGGUAAAAAAGCAGGAUCGAUUAUGAAUAAACCACAAUUAAGUCUAUUCCUUUGUUGAAUAAGGCAUAUCUCAUAUACCUCACAAAUCUAGGCCCUUAGAGUUUAGAUUCCUUCAAUGACAAUUCGUUUGAUUGGAUCCAUGGGAUUUUAGAAAAGAUUGGUGUUGACGGAUAUAACAAUGAUAGAGUAGAAGAAUACGGCGUUAAUGAAGUAAUUGCGGUGGGGAGAACUGAGAAGCAA